rnacentral:rRNA from 1 species
UUGGAGGGCAAAUCUGGUGCCAGCAGCCGCGGUAAUUCCAGCUCCAAUAGCGUAUAUUAAAGUUGUUGCAGUUAAAAAGCUCGUAGUUGAAUUUCGGGAUCAAUAUGUCGGUCGUGCCUUCGGUACGUACUGGUAUCAUUGGUCUCUCCUUUCUGACGAACCAUGAUGUCAUUAAUUUGGUGUUAUGGGGAGUCAGGACUGUUACUUUGAAAAAAUUAGAGUGUUUAAAGCAGGCUUUAGCUUGAAUACAUUAGCAUGGAAUAAUGAAAUAGGACGUUCGAACCUAUUUUGUUGGUUUCUAGGAUCAACGUAAUGAUUAAUAGGGAUAGUUGGGGGCAUUAGUAUUCAAUUGUCAGAGGUGAAAUUCUUGGAUUUAUUGAAGACUAACUACUGCGAAAGCAUUUGCCAAGGAUGUUUUCAUUAAUCAAGAACGAAAGUUAGGGGAUCGAAGACGACCAGAUACCGUCGUAGUCUUAACCAUAAACUAUGCCGACUAGGGAUCGGAUGAUGUUAAUUUUUUAAUGACUCAUUCGGCGCCUUACGGGAAAC